rnacentral:rRNA from 1 species
GAUGAACGCUGGCGGCGUGCCUAAUACAUGCAAGUCGAGCGAACGGACGAGACGCUUGCUUUUCUGAUGUUAGCGGCGGACGGGUGAGUAACACUUGGAUAACCUACCUAUAAGACUGGGCUAACUUCGUGAAACCGGAUCUAAUCCCGGAUAAUAUUUUGAACCGCAUGGUUCAAAAGUGAAAGACGGUCUUGCUGUCACUUAUAGAUGGAUCCGCGCUGCAUUAGCUAGUUGGUAAGGUAACGGCUUACCAAGGCAACGAUGCAUAGCCGACCUGAGAGGGGGAUAGGCCACACGGGAACUGAGACACGGUCCAGACUCCUAAGGGAGGCAGCAGUAGGGAAUCUUCCGCAAUGGGCGAAAGCCUGACGGAGCAACGCCGCGUGAGUGAUGAAGGUCUUCGGAUCGUAAAACUCUGUUAUUAGGGAAGAACAUAUGUGUAAGUAACUGUGCACAUCUUGACGGUACCUAAUCAGAAAGCCACGGCUAACUACGUG